AUUGAACGCUGGCGGCAUGCCUUACACAUGCAAGUCGAACGGCAGCACGGGAGCAAUCCUGGUGGCGAGUGGCGAACGGGUGAGUAAUAUAUCGGAACGUGCCCAGUCGUGGGGGAUAACGUAGCGAAAGCUACGCUAAUACCGCAUACGAUCUAUGGAUGAAAGCGGGGGAUCGCAAGACCUCGCGCGAUUGGAGCGGCCGAUAUCAGAUUAGGUAGUUGGUGAGGUAAAGGCUCACCAAGCCGACGAUCUGUAGUUGGUCUGAGAGGACGACCAGCCACACUGGGACUGAGACACGGCCCAGACUCCUACGGGAGGCAGCAGUGGGGAAUUUUGGACAAUGGGCGCAAGCCUGAUCCAGCAAUGCCGCGUGCAGGAUGAAGGCCUCGG
rnacentral:rRNA from 1 species